UUUUCUUGCCUUGUUACCUGUCUUAUUUCAAAGUAUAAAUAUUGCUUCUCAUCUCAACACACACACUUUAAAUUACACACAGAAUUUUGAAUUUAAAAAUACUUCGAACAUCUUUUCACUACACAAUUUCAAAUACUCUCUCUACAUCUACCUUAUCUAUUUCUGAUACUGAGUACUCUGCUCCUCUCUCUUCUACUGUCUGAAAUACUCCUGGUUUCCUCUUGAACUCUCAAAUACUUGCUGAAGAUUCUGAGUUUGCUCUUGCUAACUUUCGGGCUGAUUACUUACUUUUGCUUGUUGUGCUAUACUAAAUAUUGCAACUGGUAUGUCUUUCUAGUUAAAUAAUACCCUCUUGACUAUGUGUUUAUUCCUUCUCUCUUGUUAUGCAUUCUCACUAUGUGUUUACUUUAUGCUUUCUUGCCUUAUGUGUGCUCUGCCUAUUUCUCUAUGAUUUUUUACCCUUAGUCUGUUAUGUUUUCUUGUGCUUCUGUGAAUGUUCUCUAUGUGAGUCCCAUUCCUUUUGACCCUUUCUUGUGUGAGAGUACUGUUAUGAGUCAUGGCAACAUCCUAUUAUUGCUAUCCAUGACCUAGAAUUAGGUUCUCUUGAACCUUUACUCAAGUCAAUUCCCAUUCCCUUUACCCCUUAUUUGUUGAGCCUUGACUCAAGUCUGUGGUGUCCUAAUCACCAUCUAGACCCAAGUGUGACUUCCAAAACGUCUGCUGUUAAUUAUUUAGACCAAGCAUAGGGUCAGGGGUGUAUCCAGUCUAUACCCAUGGCUGGGUAUGACCACUCUCUUCUAUUGCUCCCUUACCCCUCUCUCAUUUUGCACUUAUUACUAGUUCUAGGUUCUGCCCCUCUCUGGUAAGCCAUGCUUUGGGACCCUGGAGUUCCCUAUGAACUUGGAUGCCUGAGGGCUCGCUAUUUCACACUGCACUAUUCUUUUAUAACAUUUAGCUAGAGUGUAAGCACUGCCUGGAGCUCCUGAAGCUCCGUGGAACUCUGAAACACUUUGGAUAAAAGAAGGACUUGGAAAUCGGGAUUCAUGAAUUUGUGAAACACAUGUUAUUGGACACUAAUAUUGAAUUAGGCUUGUCAGAUCUAGCUGUACGCUGUGAUGUAUUUUAAUUAUCCGUCUUUCUAAUGGUUCUGUAAUAAUUUUGUGAAAAAAAAAAAGAACUCGGGGAAUAUUAGUGAAAAGGUGGAAGGGAUUUACUUUACUUGCAUAUACUAAAG
rnacentral:lncRNA from 1 species